AUGAAAUUGCCUAAGGUGGUUAGAGGGGUUUCGAUACCUUUGGUGCUCGCAAGCUUAACAGCAUUAAGCAUUCCGCCUGGGGAGUACGGUCGCAAGACUGAAACUCAAAGGAAUUGACGGGGGCCCGCACAAGCGGUGGAGCAUGUGGUUUAAUUCGAAGCAACGCGAAGAACCUUACCAGGUCUUGACAUCCCCCGAAAACUCUCAAAAAUGAACGUUUCCCUUCGGGGGAAAGAGUGACGGGGGGUGCGGGGUUGUCCUCCUCUCGUGUCGUGAGAUGUUGGGUUAACUCCCGCAACGAGCGCACCCCUUGAUCUUAUUUGCCAGCGUUUAGUUGGGCACUCUAAAGUGACUGCCGGUGACAAACCGGAGGAAGGUGGGGAUGACGUCAAAUCAUCAUGCCCCUUAUGACCUGGGCUACACACGUGCUACAAUGGAUGGUACAAAGGGCUGCAAAAGCGCGAGGUCGAGCCAAUCCCAUAAAACCCUUCUCAGUUCGGAUUGUAGGCUGCAACUCCCCUACAUGAAACUGGAAUCUGUAGUAAUCCCGGAACAACAUGCCGCGGUGAAUACCUUCCCCGGGCUUGUACACACCGCCCGUCACACCCCGAGAGUUUGUAACACCCCAAAUCCGUGGAGGUACCGCAAGGAGCUAGCCGCCUAAGGAG
rnacentral:rRNA from 1 species